rnacentral:misc_RNA from 1 species
GAAAUGCGAUAAGUAAUGUGAAUUGCAGAAUUCAGUGAAUCAUCGAAUCUUUGAACGCACCUUGCGCUCCUUGGUAUUCCGAGGAGCAUGCCUGUUUGAGUGUCAUUUAAUUCUCAACCCCCUCCAGCUUUUGUAGGCUGGCUUUGGUGGGCUUGGAUGUGGGGGUCUUGCGGGCUUCUUCAGUAGAGGUCGGCUCCCCUGAAAUGCAUUAGCGGAACCGUUUGCGGGUACUGUCACUGGUGUGAUAAUUAUCUACGCCAAAAAGACAACUUGCUCUCCGGUCACUUCUGCUUCUAACUGUCCGCUUGUGGACAACUAUACCUUGAAUGCUUGACCUCAAAUCAGGUAGGACUACCCGCUGAACUUAA